GUAGGGAAUAUUGGGCAAUGGAUGCAAGUCUGACCCAGCCAUCCCGCGUGCCGGAAGAAGGCCCUCAGGGUUGUAAACGGCUUUUGACGGUGAAGAAUCGACAGGAUGCGUCCUGUUUUGACGGUAGCCGUUGAAUAAGCACCGGCUAACUCCGUGCCAGCAGCCGCGGUAAUACGGAGGGUGCGAGCGUUGUCCGGAUUUAUUGGGUUUAAAGGGUGCGUAGGCUGGAAGGUCAGUCAGCGGUGAAAAGCUGUCGCUUAACGAUAGUCUUGCCGCAGAUACUUCCUUUCUUGGAUGAGGAGGAGGCCACUGGAACGGAUGGUGUAGCGGUGAAAUGCAUAGAUAUCAUCCAGAACACCGGUUGCGAAGGCAGGUGGCUGUACCUUAAUCGACGCUGAUGCACGAAAGCAUGGGGAGCAAACAGGAUUAGAAACCCCGGUAGUCC
rnacentral:rRNA from 1 species